AUGGAGAUGGUGAAGGAGGUUUUUGGGUACGAGGUGAAGUACGGGAAGGCAUGGAAGGCCAAGCAAGCUGCCUUUGAGAUAUUGUAUGGUGGUUGGGAAGAAUCAUACAACCACCUCGCGAUGGUGUUGAAAGCGAUGGCGGCAGAAAAUCCUGGCAUGUACUAUAUGAUGGAGCCAGAUGGCAUGAGAACAAGGAUAUACAACGAUGCAAACGUUCGUAUAUUUGAACUUGAUGAGCACGGUGGAAUGUCGCGUGACGGCAUGCCAUAUGGAGGUGGCUCCUUCAAGGUUUAUCUUAAGAUGGGCGCGUGUUCAUGCGAGAGGCCUACAUUUUAUCAUCUCCCGUGCUCGCACUUGAUGGCUGCAUCUCGCACUAGAAAUGUGAGUGUCAACAUGACCAACAAUGUAAGAUUGGAGGAGUAUUCGAUCGAUGCGGUCAAAAAUACAUGGACUGCGAGGUUUCAUCCCUAUCUAGACCAAUCUAAAUGGCCGGAAUACCAUGGACCCCCAAUAUACCCUAAUUUGGAAAUGAAGGUGGUGACACGUGGACGAUGGAAGACAAAGCGUUUCUUGGGUGACAUGGAUGAUUGGGGUGGUGGAUUCCAUAAGGAUCGGGGGAGCCAACAUUUCGCAGAGCCUCGUGAUAUCAACCAUUGA
rnacentral:rRNA from 1 species